rnacentral:rRNA from 1 species
UACAGAGGUCUCAAGCGUUUGUUCGGAUUCAUUGGGCGUAAAGGGUGCGUAGGCGGCGCGGUAAGUCGGGUGUGAAAUCUUGGAGCUUAACUCCGAAACUGCAUUCGAUACUGCCGUGCUUGAGGACUGGAGAGGAGACUGGAAUUUACGGUGUAGCGGUGAAAUGCGUAGAUAUCGUAAGGAAGACCAGUGGCGAAGGCGGUGCUCUGGGCCGGAACUGACGCUGAGGAGCGAAAGCAUGGGGAGCGAACAGG